UACGGAGGGUGCAAGCAUUAAUCGGAUUUAUUGGGCGUAAAGGGCGCGUAGGCGGGAGCAUAAGUCAGAUGUGAAAGCCCGGGGCUCAACCCCGGAACGGCAUUUGAUACUGUGCACCUAGAGGGUAGGCGGAGAAAAUGGAAUUCCACAAGUAGCGGUGAAAUGCGUAGAUAUGUGGAAGAACACCGGUGGCGAAGGCGGUUUUCUAGCUUAUACCUGACGCUGAGGCGCGAAAGCAAGGGGAUCAAACAGG
rnacentral:rRNA from 1 species